GUCCAAAUCAUUGUAUGUUGUAUAGAAAUGAGUUCGAGAAUGAACAUAAGUGUUUUACAUGUAAUGCAUCGAGGUAUAAACGUAAAAAAGAAACCGAUGAAGUUGAUGAUGAUGUGACAAAAAAUGGGCCACCGGCUAAAAUGUUGUGGUAUUUUCCCAUCAUACCGAGAUUGAAACGUCUGUUUUCAAACGAAAAAGAGGCAAAACUAUUACGUUGGCAUUUCAGAUGAGCGUGUAAAUGAUGGAAAAUUAAGACACGUGGCGGAUUCACCUCAGUGGAGAAACAUUGAUAACAUGUAUCCAGAAUUUGGAGAAGAGAUUAGAAACAUACGGUUUGGACUUAGUUCAGACGGAAUCAAUCCUUUCGGCAGCAUGAGUAGUCUCCGUUGUACGUGGCCGGUUCUUUUAUGUAUCUACAAUCUUCCACCGUGGUUAGCCAUGAAACGAAAAUACAUUAUGAUGUCUUUGUUGAUUCAGGGUCCGAAACAACCUGGUAAUGAUAUUGAUGUUUAUUUGUCUCCUUUAAUUGAAGACUUAAAAACUCUAUGGAGUUCAGGUGUAGAUAUGUAUGAUGCUUACAAGAAAGAACAAUUUAAAUUGCGGGCCAUGAUUUUUUGUACCAUAAGUGAUUUUCCUGCGUACAGUAACUUGUCAGGGUACAAGACGAAAGGUAAGAAAGCAUGUCCUGUUUGUGAAGAUGAGACAAGUUCAGUAUAUUUAAAAAAUUGCAAAAAAACUGUAUACAUGGGACAUCGAAGAUUCCUUCCAGAUGGUCACAUUUAUCGAGAGAAAAAGGAAGAGUUUGAUGGUAGUACCGAGCUCCGAAAGAUAAGGAAACGAUUUGAUGCAUUUUCAAGAGUUAAAAAUUUAAAAACUGUGUUGGGAAAAAAAACUGUGUUGGGAAAAAAAACUGUGUUGGGAAAAAGAACUCGCGUUGAGAAAGGUGUUAUUUGGAAAAAGAAGUUAAUCUUUUGGGAAUUACCUUACUGGAAACAUUUAGAUGUUAGACAUUGCCUAGAUGUUAUGCAUAUCGAAAAAAACGUAUGUGAUAGCUUGUUGGGCUUAUUGUUAAAUAUUCCCAGUAAAACGAAAGAUGGGAUAAAUGUCCGUAAAGACAUGGUAAAUAUGGGAAUACGUAAAGAGCUUGCCCCUGUUGAGAGAGACAACCGUAUUUUUCUGCCACCUGCAUGUUAUACUAUGUCAAGAGAAGAAAAAACAAAGUUUUGCAAAUGUUUACAUGAUAUUAAGGUACCAUCAACUUAUUCUGCAAACAUUAAAAGUUUAGUGUCAAUGAAAGACUGUAAACUUCUUGGUAUGAAGUCUCAUGAUUGUCAUGUUUUAAUGACACAUAUGAUUCCUAUUGCAGUUCGUGGAGUGUUACCCGGGAACAUCCGACAUACAAUCACAUCCGACAUACAAUCACUCGAAAGUUAUUGAUCCCGAGUCACUGGAUACAUGGCAAAAAGAAGUUAUCAUCACGCUCUGUGAACUAGAGAUGUACUUUCCACCGUCUUUUUUUGAUGUUAUGGUUCACCUAGUAUCCCAUAUAGUAGGAGAAAUUAAGGCUUGUGGCCCUGUAUUUCUACGUUGCAUGUACCCUUUUGAAAGAUAUAUGGGUUUUUUAAAAGGUUAUGUAAGAAAUCCUAACCGACCUGAGGGUAGUAUUGUUGAGGGAUAUGCUUCCGAGGAAGUGCUUGAAUUUUGUACAGGUUAUUUGGAAGGUGUGGAUAGUACUGGUGUACCUCAAUCUUGUCACUCGGGUAAACUUGAUGGGGUUGGAGGUGUUGGUAUGAAAAACAUCAUCCCAAGUCGUGACACUUUACAAAUUGCACAUUUAUUGGUCCUAAAACACAUGACUUGUCUUGCUCCAUUUGUUGAAGAACACAUGAACAUUUUACGGUCGACAUACCAGGGUAAGGAUAAUAUGUGGUAUAUAAUAAAGCAUAAUAAGGAGUUUUCUAGUUGGAUGAAAACUAAGGUAACAACAACUAAGGUUGACAGAAUUGUGGAAAAGUUAGGGCAAGGUCCAGAUUUUAAAGUUAAAUCUUACCAAGGGUACGACAUUAAUGGUUACACGUUUUAUACUAAAGAUCAAGAUGCAAAAAGUACAAUGCAGAACAGUGGAGUUACAAUAAUAGCAUCAACGGCUGAAUUUGAUAGGAUGAAUCAUGAUACAAUGAUAAGAAUUGCUAAAGAUUCUUAUUAUGGUGUCAUACAAGAAAUUUGGGAAUUAGACUAUUAUGAUUUCACUCAAACUGUGUUUAGAUGUAAAUGGGUGAAUAAUCGUACAGGUGUCAAAGUUGAUAAAUAUGGUUUUACUCUUGUAGACCUUAAAAGUGAUGGCUAUGCAUCUGAACCAUUUGUACUCGCAAAACAUGUCAGACAAGUGUUUUUUGUCAAUGACCCGAGCAACCCAAGAUACCACAUCGUCUUGCAAGGUAAACGACGUAUUAUUGGUGUCGACAAUGUUGCUAAUGAGGAAGAAUAUGACCAGUUUGAUGAUCUACCACCAUUUUCAGUCGGUAUUCAACCAGGUAAUUACAGGAUUGAAGGCACCACAUACUUACGAUCUGACCACACGGAAGGGACGUAUUGCUGAUAAACCACAUCAAACUAAAUGAUCAAGGAUAGACAAUGAUGAAGAUAAGCCAUGUGAUAGAUGAUCUCAUUUUUAUUGGACAUUUUCUAGUGGAAACUUAGUAAAAGAUUGUUAUUUUGUGUCUAA